CCUACGGGAGGCAGCAGUGAGGAAUAUUGGUCAAUGGUCGGGAGACUGAACCAGCCAAGCCGCGUGAGGGAGGAAGGUACAGAGUAUCGUAAACCUCUUUUGUCAGGGAACAAAGGCGGGGACGUGUCCCCGGAUGAGUGUACCUGAAGAAAAAGCAUCGGCUAACUCCGUGCCAGCAGCCGCGGUAGUACGGAGGAUGCGAGCGUUAUCGGGAUUUAUUGGGUUUAAAGGGUGCGCAGGCGGUCUGUUAAGUUAGCGGUAAAAGCCCGGGGCUCAACCCCGGCCCGCCGUUGAAACUGGCAGUCUCGAGUUGGAGAGAGGUAUGCGGAAUGCGCGGUGUAGCGGUGAAAUGCAUAGAUAUCGCGCAGAACUCCGAUUGCGAAGGCAGCAUGCCGGCUCCACACUGACGCUGAGGCACGAAAGCGUGGGUAUCGAACAGGAUUAGAUACCCCGGUAGUC
rnacentral:rRNA from 1 species